ensembl:misc_RNA Gm27365 predicted gene, 27365
GGAUGGUCUUUUUGGGAGGCAGACAGAAUUCUGCACAUAGAAUCAGCUCAUCCUAAUGUAGAGGAUGCUAAGCUGUUUGGCUCUGAUUAUUCCGAAGAUCCCACCUUUUUUUUUUUAAUCUGUUAGCGUGACUGCUUGUCACAUUGUAAUAUUGUGUUCCUUGCCUUAGGACAG